rnacentral:misc_RNA from 1 species
GUCUCGAUUCAACAAAUAUAUAUAGUGUCAGUGUUUAUCGCCCCCAAACUGGGGUUCGACGUUUGGGUCACCAAUUUCGACGUUUGGGUCACCAAUUUCGACGUUUGGGUCACCAAGUUCGACGUUUGGGUCACCAAUUUCGACGUUUGGGUCACCAAGUUCGACGUUUGGGUCACCAAUUUCGACGUUUCCACCUAACCCCAACGACGAGAGUGCACUCCGCCGGGUCUUGAACUACCCGUUCCUGCCGCCCCCGGUCGAUAGCGGAAUCCUGCCACGCGACUCCCGGGAAUAUCACCUGCACGGUGAACCAGGAGAGUACCUGAGCCGAAUUGCAUUUGGAGCUUGUGUGAAUUGAGUGCUCGACCCCGCUCAUAUACAUACAGUUUUUUUAUCUACCUCACCGGGUUAAUUAAUCUAAUAAUUUUUUUUU